rnacentral:snoRNA from 1 species
AUCCUUUUGUGGCUCAUAAGCAUGAUGAAUGGGUGUUCAUGCUCUUGUGUGAGGUGUGCCUCCCUCAAACCUUCUUACAACGUCGGCACAUUACCCAUCUGAGG